UCGGUUUUGACCAAUCCGCCUCUGGUUGCCCAGUCGUCCGCGUUCCAAAGACUGGAGUAGAUUCUCAUCGGCUGAGUCCUCGGAAAAGGAAUCUGAAGAAGAAGAAGAAGAAAAGA